GAUAAGUAUUAUAUAGACUCGAAAAAACAAAUCUUUAUCAUAUAGAGAAAUAGAUAGAAAUACAGAGUCAUUGAGUCUAACUCUACCUCUAUCACUUCCUAUUUACUACUAUUAUUUAUAUUAACUCUACGCCUGUGUUUUUUUCUAAUUUUUAGAUCUAAGUUUCGCACUCACAUCAAAUUUUGUUUCAUUUUCACAAAACCAAUAACGCAAAUCGUACUCGUCUCUCAGUAUUGCUCUCAUUGACCCACCGUGCCAAAGGUCAUUCAAAAUUCAGCGGCCAAGCUCGGGGGGCGACUUGCCCCAGUUUCGGAGGGUAAAUUCAAACACUCUUACAAUGUUCAUGGAUAACGACGUUGAAGGUGGUAAUCUUGGGCCAUAUGCUGACAGGCCGAGGGUUUUCCCCAGCAUGCGUAGUAAAGUUCACACCCCGUUGGUAAAUACAAUUCAAUACAAAAAAGCCUGUUAUGGGAUUGAACCUGUAUCUUCAUUUGUUCUUAUUUUGUGUGAAUUGGUCUCAUUGUCAGAUUAAUAUAUGAUCACUUGUAGCAAAGCGUAUUUGUUUUUCUUGGGGUGUAAGAUUCAUGUAUGCUUUUUAUUCUUAGUGGACUACGUUUAGGACUUUUCUUCUUUCAUUGUGCUUAUGAUUUGCGAUUGGUAUGAUGGAGCUGUAUUGUGUUAAACAGUAUUGCAUUGCUAACAACCUUUGUCUCUCUCUCUCUCUCUCUCUAUCUCCAUUUUUAAAUUUAUAGCUUUUCACAGACAGAACAACAUGGUGCAACCUUUCAUAGCUUUGAACUAACAGUGCAACUGUGCUUUGUCAGAGUUAGACAAAUAUGUUUUUAUUUAUUUUGUUAAUUAGAUACUCCCUCCAUCCCAUAUUGUUGGUGUUGUUUAGAAAAUCCAACUUUUCAAGGGAACAUCAUGUAAUGCAGUCAUUCAAAUAAAAGGGAUCAAGUUUGAAAAACUUUUUGAAUGAAGUAAAUGAUAAGUUAGGAAUAUCAAUAUUAUAUAUAUUGACUUUUUAAAGAGGACUACAUUUUGAGACAUCCCAAAAUGGAAUGAAGAACUAAUGAUUUGAGGUGGAGGGAGUAGUUAAAACAAUGGGGGAGGGGGGAUUUUAACCCUGGCUCUUCUUGCAAAAGAGAGCAGACAUUGCCACUAAGCUACAUGGCUCUUGGCGUUAGAGUUAGAUAAACUAUUGUAACUAGUUAUAGAAUAACUAUUUUUCCUAAAUGUAAUGACAAUUUUGCAAUCUUUUACGUUGGAGCAAAAACUUCUCCAAUCAUUGUUUUUGUCUUCUCCCUUUGUAUUAUUAGCUUCCUUUUCUCAAUAUAUCUUACUAAGUGGUUGCUUGCAAAGGAUGAGGGGCCUCCUGAGAUGGUUCAGAGUUUAUUCAUUCAGAGUAGCAGGAGCUCAAGAAGAACUUCAGUGGUUUGUAAGGAAAUUUGGAGGACUACCCCCAGAUUUUUUUUGGCUGGACUUCCUAAAAUCAUUGACAAUUGUCACAUUAAUUGGAACUCCGAUCAAAGACAGGUCCUCUGGAUUUUACAAAUAGCAUAAGCCUAGCAGAUUAACACAAAAAACUUGCAAUGGAUGAUGAAGAAAGAUCAAGAUCAAUCUCAAAGAGAAAACCCAUCUAGGUGGUCACAGAUUAACACUACUAGUCAUGGGUUGCUAAAUGGGGAUACAAUUGUGAUCUCGUUUGUGUGUACUGCAAGAGAAAGCUGGCGCCAAUGUUGGGCUGCGUAACAUGGAUCCCAAUUACAUGAUCUGUGUUGUUCUGAGCAAUGCAUUUGAAUAGUGUAUUCAACCUUCCUUGCACACAAGGCUAUUCAUGGUUCAGUGGCAGGGUAUAUGGAUUUGCAGUUGAGCCUAUUAAUGGGAGACAUUCUUAUAUUCCAUUUCAUUUAAGUUUCUUCUUGGUUGGAAAUUUUUAAUCUUCCUUGCUCAUGUCUAGCUGUCUCUGUGAGCUAUAUGUAUGUGUUUGUGGGUUUGCACAUGUAUAUACCCUUUGUGUACCCUUUGUGUGAGAUUAUGCUUCUUGCUACAUUAUACAUGUCCACAAUGGCCAAUUGAACAAAUGUCCAUUCAUUCAACCUUUAAAUAUCUUGCCUGCUUUACACAUAGCUUGUUGCACCUAUUGAUCUGGAAACAUGAUCAAUGAACCUGUAAGCAAGUUUAUAUUCAAAAUUUCAUUAGAUGAUAGAUGAGUUCAUUCAACUGGGGUAGGAGCACAUUGGUUUUAUGAUUGGCAACUAGCCAUUAAUAUAAUAUGGACUUGUUGCUCAUUUUGUGCGUGCAGUGUGCAAUUGAGAAAUAGUGAGAAACAA